rnacentral:rRNA from 1 species
CCCUUAGAUGUUCUGGGCCGCACGCGCGCUACACUGACGCAUUCAUCAAGCUUACAACCUUGGCCGGAAGGCCCGGGUAAUCUUUUGAACGUGCGUCGUGAUGGGGAUAGAUCAUUGCAAUUAUUGAUCUUCAACGAGGAAUUCCUAGUAAACGCAAGUCAUCAGCUUGCAUUGAUUACGUCCCUGCCCUUUGUACACACCGCCCGUCGCUACUACCGAUUGAAUGUCUUAGUGAGGUCCAUGGAUUGGUGCUUUUGGUGGCAACGCCAUUGGCGGCGAAAAGUGGACCAAACUUGAACAUUUAGAGGAAGUAAAANUCGUANCA